rnacentral:rRNA from 1 species
CUCAUACUGUGAAACUGCGAAUGGCUCAUUAAAUCAGUUAUCGUUUAUUUGAUAGUACCUUACUACAUGGAUACCCGUGGUAAUUCUAGAGCUAAUACAUGCUUAAAACCCCGACUUCGGAAGGGGUGUAUUUAUUAGAUAAAAAACCAAUGCCCUUCGGGGCUGCUUGGUGAUUCAUAAUAACUAAACGAAUCGCAUGGCCUUGAGCCGGCGAUGGUUCAUUCAAAUUUCUGCCCUAUCAACUUUCGAUGGUAGGGUCUUGGCCUACCAUGGUAUCAACGGGUAACGGGGAAUUAGGGUUCGAUUCCGGAGAGGGAGCCUGAGAAACGGCUACCACAUCCAAGGAAGGCAGCAGGCGCGCAAAUUACCCAAUCCCGACGCGGGGAGGUAGUGACAAUAAAUACUGAUACAGGGCUCUUUUGGGUCUUGUAAUUGGAAUGAGUACAAUUUAAACCCCUUAACGAGGAACAAUUGGAGGGCAAGUCUGGUGCCAGCAGCCGCGGUAAUUCCAGCUCCAAUAGCGUAUAUUAAAGUUGUUGCAGUUAAAAAGCUCGUAGUUGAACCUUGGGCCAGGCUGGCCGGUCCGCCUAACCGCGUGUACUGGUCCGGCCGGGUCCUUUCCUCUGGGGAGCCGCAUGCCCUUUACUGGGCGUGUCGGGGAACCAGGACUUUUACUGUGAAAAAAUUAGAGUGUUCAAAGCAGGCCUUUGCUCGGAUACAUUAGCAUGGAAUAAUAGAAUAGGACGUGCGGUCCUAUUUUGUUGGUUUCUAGAACCGCCGUAAUGAUUAAUAGGGACAGUCGGGGGCAUCAGUAUUCAGACGCGAGAGGUGAAAUUCUUAGACCGUCUGAAGACUAACUACUGCGAAAGCAUUUGCCAAGGAUGUUUUCAUUAAUCAGUGAACGAAAGUUGGGGGAUCGAAGACGAUCAGAUACCGUCGUAGUCUCAACCGUAAACUAUGCCGACUAGGGAUCGGGCGACGUUCUAAUUAUGACUCGCCCGGCACCUUACGAGAAAUCAAAGUUUU